rnacentral:rRNA from 1 species
AUGAACGCUGGCGGCGUGUCUAAGGCAUGCAAGUCGAACGGUUUGUAGCAAUACAAGCCGUGGCAAACGGGUGCGUAACACAUUGGUAACCUUCCCCGUGGAUGAGUAUAACUCCGAGAAAUUGGAGAUAAUCCUCAAUAAUAGUGGGGGGACAAAAGUCAUUCCCACUCAAAUCUUUCGCAAGAUUGGCCGCGGGAUGGGCCUAUGGCCUAUCAGUUAGUUGGUGAGGUAAUGGCUCACCAAGGCAAUGACAGGUAGCGGUUCUGAGAGGAUGAUCCGCCACACUGGUACUGAGACACGGACCAGACUCCUACGGGAGGCAGCAGUGAGGAAUAUUGCACAAUGGGGGGAACCCUGAUGCAGCAACGCCGCGUGGAGGAUGACGCAUUUCGGUGUGUAAACUCCUUUUAUAUGUCAAGAAAAUGACGGUAGCAUAUGAAUAAGCACCGGCUAACUCCGU